rnacentral:lncRNA from 1 species
UGCUAUUUAAAGCUCUCCUACCAGGCUUUGGAGCUACACCCGAUGAGUGACUUUGAGAGAGGACAUGUACAGAGCAGAAAGGCACGGACACAAAAGUGAUAUGCGGCUCAGCUUCAUCUGCAUAUUCACCACUGAAUGUCCUCGUCAUGGUGCACCUGCUCCUGUUUGAAUACUUACCUUAAUGGAACAGGCUGAGUCAGCAUCUGCUUGCACCUGAACCCUUGAUUGCAAGUAAGCGGAUUGCCGGGAGGUGGCUGGGUUGCAUCAGCUGCAGUAGAGGACAGCGUUCUGUUGGGAAGGCAGGGAAAGGAGAGAAAACUUCAACAGAAAUAGUCCAAGUGUUGCGAAGUUAAAAAUAAAACGAUAUCACAAGGGGCAAUGUGACCAGGCUCAGCUUACGACUUUUUCCUUCCCCUGUAUUUAUCAACACUCAGUCUCUACUGGAGUGGCAUUUAGCAGGGGAAACUGAAUGGGAAGUGAAGUUUUAUAUCAAUAGGUUUUCUUUCCCUUGAGGAAGGAGGAAAAUCCUUUUAAGAAGGAUCAUUUUCAAGGCCAGAACAGCCUCUCAGAUUCCUGCAUGUGCAGUCGGCAGGCCCAGCUGUGCUGAAGGAGGCUGGCACAGCCUUCAGGACUGGCUGCUGCUCUAAUUAUAACCAUGCUCCUCACCUAAACCCAUCACUGGCUGAAGCAGCAACUUGUGCAAAUGACAUGGUGUCCUGCUUCAGUUUCUCCUAUCUCUUGUCGUGACAAGAAAGAAGGUGAAAUGAAGACAUUCUCUGAACUAUGAGAAUCUGUGGCCAGUAGUCCUGUUCUGUGGAGUAUUAAAGAAAAUUCUUCCUAAGAGGGAAAAUUGGAACUUCAAGAAUAAAGGAAAAGCCACACAUAUGGACGGGCAUGGUGGCUCACGCCUGUAAUCUCAGCACUUUGA